rnacentral:tRNA from 1 species
AUUUAAAUAAUUUAAUUUUAAAAAUUUUGAUUUGUGGUGUCAAAUAUGAUAUUUUAUAUCUUUAAAUU